rnacentral:rRNA from 1 species
AGAGUUUGAUCAUGGCUCAGAUUGAACGCUGGCGGCAGGCCUAACACAUGCAAGUCGAACGGUAACAGGAAACAGCUUGCUGUUUCGCUGACGAGUGGCGGACGGGUGAGUAAUGUCUGGGAAACUGCCUGAUGGAGGGGGAUAACUACUGGAAACGGUAGCUAAUACCGCAUAACGUCGCAAGACCAAAGAGGGGGACCUUCGGGCCUCUUGCCAUCGGAUGUGCCCAGAUGGGAUUAGCUUGUUGGUGGGGUAACGGCUCACCAAGGCGACGAUCCCUAGCUGGUCUGAGAGGAUGACCAGCCACACUGGAACUGAGACACGGUCCAGACUCCUACGGGAGGCAGCAGUGGGGAAUAUUGCACAAUGGGCGCAAGCCUGAUGCAGCCAUGCCGCGUGUAUGAAGAAGGCCUUCGGGUUGUAAAGUACUUUCAGCGGGGAGGAAGGGAGUAAAGUUAAUACCUUUGCUCAUUGACGUUACCCGCAGAAGAAGCACCGGCUAACUCCGUGCCAGCAGCCGCGGUAAUACGGAGGGUGCAAGCGUUAAUCGGAAUUACUGGGCGUAAAGCGCACGCAGGCGGUUUGUUAAGUCAGAUGUGAAAUCCCCGGGCUCAACCUGGGAACUGCAUCUGAUACUGGCAAGCUUGAGUCUCGUAGAGGGGGGUAGAAUUCCAGGUGUAGCGGUGAAAUGCGUAGAGAUCUGGAGGAAUACCGGUGGCGAAGGCGGCCCCCUGGACGAAGACUGACGCUCAGGUGCGAAAGCGUGGGGAGCAAACAGGAUUAGAUACCCUGGUAGUCCACGCCGUAAACGAUGUCGACUUGGAGGUUGUGCCCUUGAGGCGUGGCUUCCGGAGCUAACGCGUUAAGUCGACCGCCUGGGGAGUACGGCCGCAAGGUUAAAACUCAAAUGAAUUGACGGGGGCCCGCACAAGCGGUGGAGCAUGUGGUUUAAUUCGAUGCAACGCGAAGAACCUUACCUGGUCUUGACAUCCACGGAAGUUUUCAGAGAUGAGAAUGUGCCUUCGGGAACCGUGAGACAGGUGCUGCAUGGCUGUCGUCAGCUCGUGUUGUGAAAUGUUGGGUUAAGUCCCGCAACGAGCGCAACCCUUAUCCUUUGUUGCCAGCGGUCCGGCCGGGAACUCAAAGGAGACUGCCAGUGAUAAACUGGAGGAAGGUGGGGAUGACGUCAAGUCAUCAUGGCCCUUACGACCAGGGCUACACACGUGCUACAAUGGCGCAUACAAAGAGAAGCGACCUCGCGAGAGCAAGCGGACCUCAAUAAAGUGCGUCGUAGUCCGGAUUGGAGUCUGCAACUCGACUCCAUGAAGUCGGAAUCGCUAGUAAUCGUGGAUCAGAAUGCCACGGUGAAUACGUUCCCGGGCCUUGUACACACCGCCCGUCACACCAUGGGAGUGGGUUGCAAAAGAAGUAGGUAGCUUAACCUUCGGGAGGGCGCUUACCACUUUGUGAUUCAUGACUGGGGUGAAGUCGUAACAAGGUAACCGUAGGGGAACCUGCGGUUGGAUCACCU